rnacentral:lncRNA from 10 species
GGGACACUGCUUAGUGCCUCCUCCCAUGUCUUCCUUGGGCUGCAGCAUCUCUCAGGGCUCACAGAGGCCCCUCUAACUCCAAGGGGACUUCUUGGUCUGUUUCACAGGCCAGGAGACGGUGUUCGGAUACAUCCCCGCUGUAUGUUUCAUCCAUGGCAGUCUGGCCUUCCCAUGAAGAGCCUCUGUGUGAGCAAAUUGAAAAUAGGGCUUCUUGCCCCAACCUUCCAUGGAAAUGGCUAUGGUUUCAGUCUCCAUAAAGGUUACUUGCUCUUUUUCUGAAAAUCCAAAAGGACAGUGUUAACUCUUUGUACAAAUUGCACUGGCCAUUUGGUCUUAGCGCAAACUUUUUGGACCAUGUUUCAUUUUCGUUUAGACCAGCCUGGCCAACAUGCUGAAACCCUGUCUCUACUAGAAAUACAAAAAUUAGCCAGGCAUGGUGGCAGGCACCUGUAGUCCCAGAUACUUGGGGAGGAUACAGAAGAUCAGCACCUCACUCUGUGAACAUGUGUCAUACAGAAGGUCAGCACUGCACUGUGUGAACACGCUUCAUACAGAAGGUCAGCACCGCAUUGUGUGAACAUGUGUCAUACAGAGAGUCAGCACCGCACCGUGUGAACACGCUUCAUACAGAGGGUCAGCACCGCAUUGUGUGAACAUGCUUCAUACAUGAGAUAUUUGGUCUUAGUCCUUGGUUCCUGGCACAGAGCUUCAAAAAUUCCUGGAAUUUCCUGAGUGAUAAGGAUGUCUGUUUAUUUGUAAAGCGCUCCUUCUGACCAUGCCUGAGCUUAUGCCAGUGAGGUGCCUCAAAGUGGGCCUUUAGAGAGCUUCAAGAGAGGGGCUGGCCAUGCCAGAGAGAUCAAGUCCAUAUUUAAAGGGCUAGAACGUUCAGCCCCACCCGACCUCUGCAGAGGGGAGAGGGAUUGGGCACUGAGUUCAUUCCUGCUUACAUGGCUAACUUUUAUUUGUCCCUCUCUCUCUCUCUUUUAAAAUGAGUAUAGGGACCUGAAACAGUGGUCUCCUGCUCCCGAGUAGCUGGGAUUAUAGGCGUGCACCACCACGUCCGGCUAACUUUUUGUAUUUUUAGUAGAGACGGGGUGGGGGCGGUCUCACCAUGUUGGCCAACCUGGUCUCGAACUGCUGACUGGCUUCGGUGACAAAAACGAGCAUCGCGUUUCCAUGGAGGGCUUCCCGUCUGUGUAUGAGAAAGUUCUGGACAUCACACUGCUUCCGACACAUUUAUUCUCCUUAUCAUUCAUCAAGAAACUGAACUGAGCAAUGUUGUAUCAUCUGUCCACAUGGCUUGGUUUGUUCUGAGCUAUAAUCUUCAUUCACUUAUUCAGCAAAAUUUCCUAAACAACUACUAUAUGCCAGGUGUUUUAGAUACUGGGGACGCAGCAGUGAACAACUGGGUCAAAGCCUUUCACUGUCAUGAAAUUAGUCUCACCCAAAAUUCUCAGACUAUUAUAAGAAAACAUUAUCUGUAAAAUGAUUUUGUGUUAUUUUUCUAGUUGUGUUUAUAAGUUACAAAUUAGUUUUUUCACCAUCCCACGUGUGGCUUAUGCAGGCCCUUGUCAGGCCACCCUUCCUGUAAGCCUUGGCAGAGUCCACGUGAUGCUAACUCUGCAGGUGCACAGAGUGCAUGAACUGUGGAGACACAGCCACCUCCACCUCCUGACCUCGCACCCAGCUCGGAGCCCGGAGCGUGCCUCGGCGGCCUGUCGGGUAAGGCCGGGCCUCGGAGCGGUGGCGCGGGGGCGGGCGCGGGGAGAGGCCAGGCUCCCAUCCCUUCCGGGCGCCCCGACGGAGACAGACGACCUCUGAUCCCCCGCCCCCGCCUGGGUACAGGCCGGGCCAGCCCGCGAGGGAGGGAGGGAGGGAGGACGACAGAUGCAGGCGGAAGGCAAGACUGAAACCUGAGAUCAGAACUAGAGACGAUUUCACAACAAGGAGAAAUCAGCUUUGUGCUUACAUGCCGAGCAGCCAGCACGGUUCUUCUUUGCCUGUCCUCGGGGGAAAUCAGGGCUCUGAGAGUGGAGAUCGAGAUGGGCUAGUGGGUGGCGGAUGGGACGCUGCAGCUGGGGUAGCUGGGGCCUGCCUUACCCCCGCCCCACCCCCAGACUCACCUGUCUGCAAGGUCAGAGCCCUUUAGGGCACCCUGGGUGCCCUAAAAUCCCCUAUAACUGCUGAGUCCUUGGCCAGAAUGGUCCCACAUUUGUGGGCCUGGGAAAGUGUUCUUGCCCUGCUGGAAUAAAAAAGCGGGGAGAAAGUACAAGAUCCAGGAUGCCUCAGGGCGGUUGGCAGAAAU